GCACUGGUAGCUCAGACGGCAGAGCGCCUGGUUGAAACCCAGGAAGUCGGAGACUCGAAGCCUCCCCGGUGCGCCA
rnacentral:tRNA from 1 species